UACAGAGGGGGCAAGCGUUGUCCGGAUUUACUGGGCGUAAAGAGUGCGCAGGCGGUCGGAUAAGUCGAAUGUGAAAGCCCCCGGCUCAACUGGGGAGGGUCAUUCGAUACUGUUCGACUCGAAGGCAGGAGAGGGAAGUGGAAUUCCCGGUGUAGUGGUGAAAUGCGUAGAUAUCCUGAGGAACACCGGUGGCGAACGCGGCGCGCUGGACCUCUUCUGACGCUGAGGCGCGAAAGCCAGGGGAACAAACGGG
rnacentral:rRNA from 1 species